GACGAACGCUGGCGGCGUGCCUAAUACAUGCAAGUUGAGCGGAAAGGCCCGCAUUACUUUUGUGGUGGGGGUGCUCGAGUGGCGAACGGGUGAGUAACACGUGGGUGAUCUGCCCUGUACUUCGGGAUAAGCUUGGGAAACUGGGCCUAAUACCGGAUAGGACCAUGGUUUAGCAUCUCAUGGUGGAAAGAUUAUUGUUUUGGUGCAGGAUGAGCUCGCGGCCUAUCAGCUUGUUGGUGGGGUAAUGGCCUACCAAGGCGUCGACGGGUAGCCGGCCUGAGAGGGUGGACGGCCACAUUGGGACUGAGAUACGGCCCAG
rnacentral:rRNA from 1 species